CUGGCUCAAGGCCUGGAAAGCAGACUCCAUCUCUGAUUGCACCUGCCCCAGGAGGAGAGGGAGAAACGCUUUACUGACAAAAGGUGUCUUGUGAAAUUCUCAUGUGGAUCUGUGUGCUCACAGUAAACUUUGGACCCUUUCUUACUUCAUGAGUGUUUCAGGCUGAGAGCCAGCUUGAGAAGCCGAUGGUGCCUGUAAGAGAGGUUCCCG